rnacentral:rRNA from 1 species
UCGUUGGUGAACCAGCGGAGGGAUCAUUAC